rnacentral:snRNA from 14 species
AUGCUCACUUCGGCAGCAUGUGUGCUAAAAUGGAACCAUACGGACUAGCACGGCUCCUGCGCGGGGAUGACCUCCAUACUUCCAUAAUUUUUCCAUGACUUU